GAUGAACGCUGGCGGCGUGCCUAAUACAUGCAAGUCGAGCGAACAGACGAGGAGCUUGCUCCUCUGACGUUAGCGGCGGACGGGUGAGUAACACGUGGAUAACCUACCUAUAAGACUGGGAUAACUUCGGGAAACCGGAGCUAAUACCGGAUAAUAUAUUGAACCGCAUGGUUCAAUAGUGAAAGACGGUUUUGCUGUCACUUAUAGAUGGAUCCGCGCCGCAUUAGCUAGUUGGUAAGGUAACGGCUUACCAAGGCAACGAUGCGUAGCCGACCUGAGAGGGUGAUCGGCCACACUGGAACUGAGACACGGUCCAGACUCCUACGGGAGGCAGCAGUAGGGAAUCUUCCGCAAUGGGCGAAAGCCUGACGGAGCAACGCCGCGUGAGUGAUGAAGGCCUUCGGAUCGUAAAACUCUGUUAUUAGGGAAGAGCAAAUGUGUAAGUAACUAUGCACGUCUUGACGGUACCUAAUCAGAAAGCCACGGCUAACUACGUG
rnacentral:rRNA from 1 species